AUACGGAGGAUCCGAGCGUUAUCCGGAUUUAUUGGGUUUAAAGGGUGCGCAGGCGGGAGAUUAAGUCGGCGGGGAAAUUUUGCAGCUCAACUGUAAAAGUGCCUUCGAAACUGGUUUCCUUGAGUGUAGAUGAAGUAGGCGGAAUUUUUGGUGGAGCGGUGAAAUGCAUAGAUAUCACGAGGAACUCCGAUUGCGCAGGCAGCUUACUAAACUACUACUGACGCUCAGGCACGAAGGCGUGAGGAUCAAACAGGAUUAGAUACCCUGGUAGUCCACGCAGUAAACGAUGAUUACUAGCUGUUUGCGAUACAAUGUAAGCGGCUGAGCGAAAGCGUUAAGUAAUCCACCUGGGGAGUACGUUCGCAAGAAUGAAACUCAAAUGAAUUGACGGGG
rnacentral:rRNA from 1 species